GGACCCUUAGCUCAAUUGGCUAGAGCGUCUCAUUGACGUUGAGAAGGUUCCGAGUCCGAGUCUCGGGGGGUCCA
rfam:Microgenomates (Levybacteria) bacterium GW2011_GWB1_35_5 TR81_C0018, whole genome shotgun sequence.